GACGAACGCUGGCGGCGUGCUUAACACAUGCAAGUCGAACGGAAAGGCCCUGCUUUUGUGGGGUGCUCGAGUGGCGAACGGGUGAGUAACACGUGAGUAACCUGCCCUUGACUUUGGGAUAACUUCAGGAAACUGGGGCUAAUACCGGAUAGGAGCUCCUGCUGCAUGGUGGGGGUUGGAAAAUUUCGGCGGUUGGGGAUGGACUCGCGGCUUAUCAGCUUGUUGGUGGGGUAGUGGCUUACCAAGGCUUUGACGGGUAGCCGGCCUGAGAGGGUGACCGGGCACAUUGGGACUGAGGUACGGCGCAGACGGCUACGGGAGGCAGAGGUGGGGAAUAUUGCACAAUGGGCGGAAGCCUGAUGCAGCAACGCCGCGUGCGGGAUGACGGCCUUCGAGUUGUAAACCGCUGUCGCCUGUGACGAAGCGUGAGUGACGGUAAUGGGUAAAGAAGCACCGGCUAACUACGUG
rnacentral:rRNA from 1 species